UCUUCUUUUCUUCUUCCCUGCUGAGUCUUCUGAAUCUGAUGGCAGGUACGAAUCACAGUCACAGAACAACAAAUUGAAAUCUAAAGAUCAAAGUUUAAAGGCUAGCAGCAGAAGAAGAUCGAUCUCAUGUAUUUAAAGGUUCACUGUAAAGGUUAACUUCAGAUCUCGUGUUUGAAUUUCGGAUUUCAUCUUCUUACAGUUACAAUCAAAAGGGGGACAUCAAGCACCAUCUUUGAUUAAAUGUACUGGGGAGAGAGAUGUCAAGUGUACAAGAACAAGAGUUACCAGAACCAGACCAUUACAACGAUGUUAUGAGUGGUGACGGUCAAGAUGAUGAUGAUGAUGUUGAGAUGC